UUGGGAAUCUUGCACAAUGGGGGGAACCCUGAUGCAGCGACGCCGCGUGGAGGACGAAGGGUCUAGGCCUGUAAACUCCUUUUAUCGGGAAAGACUUAGGACGGUACCCGAUGAAUAAGCACCGGCUAACUACGUGCCAGCAGCCGCGGUAAGACGUAGGGUGCAAGCGUUGUCCGGAUUUACUGGGCGUAAAGAGCGCGUAGGCGGUCUGUUAAGUGUAGAGUGAAAUCUCCAGGGCUCAACCCGGAAACUGCUCUGCAUACUGGCAGACUGGAGGAUUGCAGAGGUCUGUGGAAUUCCCGGUGUAGCGGUGAAAUGCGUUGAUAUCGGGAGGAACACCCAUGGCGAAGGCAGCAGACUGGGCAAUAUCUGACGCUGAGGCGCGAAAGCGUGGGUAGCAAACAGGAUUAGAUACCCGGGUAGUCC
rnacentral:rRNA from 1 species